rnacentral:rRNA from 1 species
GACAGAGGGUGCAAACGUUGUUCGGAAUUACUGGGCGUAAAGCGCGUGUAGGCGGCCAAGCAAGUCGGAUGUGAAAGCCCUCGGCUCAACCGGGGAAGUGCACUCGAAACUGCAUGGCUAGAGUCUCGGAGAGGAUCGUGGAAUUCUCGGUGUAGAGGUGAAAUGCGCAGAUAUCAGGAGGAACACCAAUUGCGAAGGCAGCUCGCUGGGACGUUACUGACGCUGAGACGCGAAAGCGUGGGGAGCGAACAGG